AUUGAACGCUGGCGGCAUGCCUUACACAUGCAAGUCGAACGGCAGCACGGGGCAACCUGGUGGCGAGUGGCGAACGGGUGAGUAACGCAUCGGAACGUACCUUUCAGUGGGGGAUAACGUAGCGAAAGUUACGCUAAUACCGCAUAUUCUGUGCGCAGGAAAGCAGGGGAUCGCAAGACCUUGCGCUGAUUGAGCGGCCGAUAUCAGAUUAGCUAGUUGGUGAGGUAAAGGCUCACCAAGGCGACGAUCUGUAGCGGGUCUGAGAGGAUGAUCCGCCACACUGGAACUGAGACACGGUCCAGACUCCUACGGGAGGCAGCAGUGGGGAAUUUUGGACAAUGGGGGCAACCCUGAUCCAGCCAUGCCGCGUGAGUGAAGAAGGCCUUCGGGUUGUAAAGCUCUUUCGGCCGGGAAGAAAUCGCACGGGCUAAUACCCUGUGUGGAUGACGGUACCGGAAUAAGAAGCACCGGCUAACUACGUGCCAGCCGCCGCAGUAAAAC
rnacentral:rRNA from 1 species